rnacentral:rRNA from 1 species
AUGGCGAAGAUGGUAGAUCCUCCGAAGGGCAAGGGAAACCAUGGGAAGCAUUACUACAUAAUGUGCGAGACGAUGUUUGAGAUCGACACCAAGUACGUGCCGAUCAAGCCCAUCGGAAAGAGGAGCUUACGGACGCUGCGCGAGCUGAAGCUCCUUCGGCACUUGAGUCACGAGAAUGUCAUUGCUUUGAAGGAUGUAAUGAUGCCAAUACAAAGGAGGAACUUCAAGGAUGUCUACCUGGUGGCCGGACUCAUGGACACGGAUCUGCAGAAGAUCAUCAACUCGUCUAUAACGCUUUCCAAUGACCACUGCCAAUAUUUGCUUUUUCAGCUGCUCCGAGGGCUGAAGUAUCUUCAUUCAGCAGGGAUACUGCAUAGAGACCUGAAACCAGGAAACCUUCUGGUUAAUGGAAACUUGUUUAUGACUGAAUAUGUUGUCACCCGCUGGUAUAGAGCUCCGGAGCUCCUUCUCAGCUGCGACAACUAUGGCACCUCCAUAGAUGUCUGGUCUGUUGGCUGCAUCCUUGCUGAGCUACUUGGCCGCAAGUCGAUCUUUCCAGGAACUGAUUGCCUAAAUCAGCUUAAGCUUAUAGUCAAUGUUCUUGGCACCAUGAGCGAUGAUGACCUGGAGUUCAUUGGCAACAUGAAAGCUCGCAAGUACAUCAAAUCCCUUUCAUACACCGCCGGGAUUCCCCUCACUAGAAUGUACCCACAAGCGCACCCUCUCGCCAUUGAUCUAUUGCAGAAGAUGCUGGUCUUCGAUCCUUCCAAAAGGAUCAGUGUCACUGAGGCUCUGGAGCACCCCUAUAUGUCUGUGUUGUAUGAUCCCAGCGCAAACCCUCCUGCUCAGGCACCCAUCGAUCUCGAUAUAGAUGAAAACUCGGCGUGGAGAUGA